UACGUAGGGGGCUAGCGUUGUUCGGAAUUACUGGGCGUAAAGCGCACGUAGGCGGACUUUUAAGUCAGGGGUGAAAUCCCGGGGCUCAACCCCGGAACUGCCUUUGAUACUGGGUGUCUCGAGUCCGGAAGAGGUGAGUGGAAUUCCGAGUGUAGAGGUGAAAUUCGUAGAUAUUCGGAGGAACACCAGUGGCGAAGGCGGCUCACUGGUCCGGUACUGACGCUGAGGUGCGAAAGCGUGGGGAGCGAACAGG
rnacentral:rRNA from 1 species